CUUCACCGACCCGAGCAGCAGCGGCUGCUCACGGUCCUGCCCGUAGGUCGCGAGCAGCGCCUGGGCCUC
rnacentral:antisense_RNA from 1 species